GGGCAGGGAGUUCAUCAGGGAAAGAACGGCACUCACAUGCGCGCGGCUGUGCUAAAGAGUGCAGGUGCGGGUUCGACGCCCGCCCGCCCCA
rnacentral:tRNA from 1 species